rnacentral:rRNA from 1 species
AGUGAACGCUGGCGGUAGGCCUAACACAUGCAAGUCGAACGGCAGCACAGUAAGAGCUUGCUCUUACGGGUGGCGAGUGGCGGACGGGUGAGGAAUACAUCGGAAUCUACUUUUUCGUGGGGGUUAACGUAGGGAAACUUACGCUAAUACCGCAUACGACCUACGGGUGAAAGCAGGGGAUCUUCGGACCUUGCGCGGUUGGAUGAGCCGAUGUCGGAGUAGCUGGUUGGCGGGGUAAAGGCCCACCAAGGCGACGAUCCGUAGCUGGUCUGAGAGGAUGAUCAGCCACACUGGAACUGAGACACGGUCAAGACUCCUACGGGAGGCAGCAGUGGGGAAUAUUGGACAAUGGGCGCAAGCCUGAUCCAGCCAUACCGCGUGUGUGAAGAAGGCCUUCGGGUUGUAAAGCCCUUUUGUUGGGAAAGAAAAGCAGCAGGUUAAUACCCCGCUGUUCUGACGGUACCCAAAGAAUAAGCACCGGCUAACUUCGUG